GUCUCUAGAGAGUUGAAAACAGCAGUUCUGGGACAGGUAGCACAUCUGGUGAACAGGUCAGGGUUCCAUAGCCGCAGGCUUGAAACUGGAGCAGCAGCAAGACCUACUACCCUGAGACAAGGCUGAGUAUAGCCCACAAAGAUCUCCACCACACGAGCCCGAGGGGGCGCCAACCCGGAGAUCACGUCAGGGACUCAGCCCACUCAAGUGACGCACCCCUCCUAGGGACAGCAUGGAAGAGCAGCAGUAAGCCAGUGACUCAGCCCCUGUAAUAGGGUUAGAGGCAGAGAAUCUCAGUGGAGAGAGAGGAACUGGCCAGGCAGAGACAGUAAGGGUGGUUUGUUGCUCCAGUGCCUUUCCAUUCACCUUCACACUCCUGGGCCAGACAACACUCAAUCAUAGGACGUACUGAAGAGAUUAGUUUUCAGUAAAGACUUAAAGGUUGAGAGAGAGUCUGCGUCUCUCACAUGGAUAGGCAGACCAUUCCAUAAAAAUUUAGCUCUAUAGGAGAAAGCCCUGCCUCCAGCUGUUUGCUUAGAAAUUCUAGGGACAAUAAGGAGGCCUGCGUCUUGUGAUCGUAGCGUACGUGUAGGUAUGUACAGCAGGACCAAAACAGAGAGAUAGGUAGGAGCAAGCCCAUGUAAUGCUUUUAGGUUAGCAGUAAAACCUUGAAAUCAGCCAUAGCCUUAACAGGAAGCCAGUUUAGGGAGGCUAGCACUGGAGUAAUAUGAUCAAAUGUUUGGGUUCUAGUCAGGAUUCUAGCAGCCGUGUUUAGCACUAAGUGAAGAUUAUUUAGUGCUUUAUCUGGGUAGCCAGAGAGUAGAGCAUUGCAGUAGUCCAAUCUAGAAGUAACAAAAGCAUAGAUGACCUUUUCUGCAUCAUUUUUGGACAGAAAGUUUAAGAUUUUUGCAAUGUUACGAAGAUAUUUCAAGAAUAUCCUUGAAAUAUUCUUGAUAUGUUCGUCAAAAGAGAGAUCAGGGUCCAGAGUAACGCCGAGGUCCUUCACAGUUUUAUUUGAGACGACUGUACAACCAUCAAAAUUAAUUGUCAGAUCUGACAGAAGAUCUCUUUGUUUUUUGGGACCUAGAACUAGCAUCUCUGUUUUGUCCGAGUUUAAAAGUAAAACAUUUGCCGCCAUCCACUUCCUUAUGUCUGAAACACAUGCUUCCAGGGAGGGAAAUUUUGGGGCUUCACCAUGUUUUAUCAAAAUGUACAGUUGUGUAUCGUCCGCAAAGCAGUGAAAGUUAACAUUAUGUUUCCGAAUGACAUCACCAAGAGGUAAAAUAUAUAGUGAAAACUAUAGUGGUCCUAAAACAGAACACCGAAACUUACAAUUGAUUUGUCAGAGAACAAACCAUCCACAGAGACAAACUGAUAUCUUUCUGACAGAUAAGAUUAAGGUUUCCAAUCUCUCCAAAAGAAUGUGUUGAUCGAUGGUGUCAAAAGCAGCACUAAGGUCUAGGAGCACGAGGACAGAUGUAGAACCUCGGUCUGACGCCAUUAAAAGGUAAUUUACCACCUUCACGAGUGCAGUCUCAGUGCUAUGAUGGGGUCUAAAACCAGACUGAAGCGUUUCGUAUACAUUAUUUGUCUUCAGGAGGGCAGUGAGUUGCUGCGCAACAGCUUUUUCAAAAAAUGUUGAGAGGAAGGGGAGAUUCGAUAUAGGUCGACAGUGUUUUACAUUUUCUGGGUCAAGGUUUGGCUUUUUCACGAGAGGCUUUAUUACUGCCACUUUUAGUGAGUUUGGUACACAUUCGGUGGAUAGGGAGACAUUUAUUAUGUUCAACAUAGGAGGGCCAAGCACAGGAAGCAGCUCUUUCAGUAGUUUAGUUUGAAUAGGGUCCAGUAUUCAGGUUUAGAGGCCAUGACAAUUUUCAUGAAUGUGUCAAGAGAUUUAGGAUUAAAAAACUUGAGUGUCUCCACUGAUUCUAGGUCCUGGCAGUGUUGUGCAGACUCAGGACAACUGAGCUUUGGAGAAAUACGUAGAUUCAAAGAGGAGUCUGUAAUUUGCUUUCUUGUACGGGGUCAAGUUGUUACAGCACUGCCAACUGUGAUCUUUUGUCACCACCUGCUGGUCAUAUGUGACUCUACAACUGUGAUCUUUUGCCACCACCUGCUGGUCAUAUGUGACUCUACAACUGUGAUCUUUUGCCACCACCUGCUGGUCAUAUGUGACUCUACAACUGUGAUCUUUUGCCACCACCUGCUGGUCAUAUGUGACUCUACAACUGUGGGAGAUCACCUAUUCUCCUGUCUCUUCCAUAUUUUUUAUUUUAUUUCUCAAAACUAAUUCAGAGACAGAAAUAAACAUUCUAGGAUAAUACAGAUAUAACAACUUUUUUUAUAGGCCCUUUGAAUGAUUUUUGUCUUAUUCAAAGGCAAUACAACAAACAAGAAUAAGAACAAACAAAGCCAAUAUCAUUCACAGAACCCCAAACCUUUAAUUACCACAGCUUGCUCACAAAGAUAUAUGUGGAGGGGGAAAACACACAAACAGGAAGAGAGAGAGACAGCCAGAUUCAUCACCACAGACAGGACGCUGUGAUGUCACAGACAGGACGCUGUGACGUCACAGACAGGAUCCUGUGAUGUCGCAGACAGGACGGUGUGAUGUCACAGACAGGACCCUGUGAUGUCGCAGACAGGACGCUGUGAUGUCACAGACAGGACCCUGUGAUGUCGCAGACAGGACGCUGUGACGUCUCAGACAGGACCCUGUGAUGUCGCAGACAGGACCCUGUGAUGUCGCAGACAGGACGGACGCUGUGAUGUCAUUAGUAUGUGACGGACGGUUGGAUUUACAGCUCCAACAUCCUGGCUGGUAUAAUUAAGCUCUAAACCAGAGAAAUAGCACACGCGCACGCACAUCCACCCACCCCUACUGAAACAUACACUCUCUCAUGCACAUCCACCCACCCCUACUGAAACAUACACACUCUCUCAUGCACAUCCACCCACCCCUACUGAAACAUACACACUCUCUCAUGCACAUCCACCCACCCCUACUGAAACAUACACACUCUCUCACGCACA
rnacentral:lncRNA from 1 species